UGAAGACCACAUGAUGGAAGACAGGUGUCGGGCAUAGUCCGAGCAAUUCCAGAUCCUCACCCACAAGAAUCACCGGCUCAGUGCCGGCCACUGGCUGCUGGAGAACAGCAGGAGCAGGAGAGACUCUCGAUAGGGAAACCCGGGGCUGCUGCCUCCUUCAAGGAGGGGAUAAAGCAGAGGAAAUGAAUCACUGCAGGGCAAGAAGGACAGGACUGAAGGGCUGCCCUGGAGGGGGCACUGCCACCCACUCUUGUCCCAGCUACUAGGCCCAGGAGAAGAGAGAGGAGGGAGUUACUGUGAGACCUGUUGGCUCUGCAGGGCCUCAAGCAUCCUAGGGAGAAGGUUGUGGGUGGGAUGCAGGAGCUGGCGACGGAAGCAUCGGGUGUGACAGGAGGAGCCAAGGCCAGACCCUGAGGAGCACUGGCCAAGUGACAAACCCACCAGCAGGGGCUGGAGAGCUGCUGCAGCCCAGGAGAUGGGGUCUUUGGGGAAGGGAGGGAGAGUGCCAAGGGCUACAGAGAACCCAGUCAGGUAGGAGCGAAGGAGCAAGUGCACGUAGGAUGUUGCACUUAGCAACGGAGCCACUGGUCAAGAAGGCAGUGGCAGGGCCCAGAGUAAGCCCGGUUGUGGGUUGAGGUGCAUGCAGUGGGUGAGGAUGUGGCUAUCAGGGAGAACAGGUCUCUCCUUCCGGCUGGAGUUGCAGGGAGAUAGUUUUCCCAAAGAGGCAGAGGCUUGAGCUGAUGGGAGGGAGCCCAGAAAGAUGGGGCUGAACUAUGGACUGUGGCUCUAAGGAGUCAAAAGAGGGUGAACGGUGGACAGGACGGCGCGGCCCCCACACACUCAACGUGGGCUCCCAGAGCACCAGCGGCCACCCAAUCUCCUGGGCUGACAGAGCAGAAGAUGAAGAAACGGAGGUGCGGAGCAGAGAAGCGACCUGGUCAAGGAACCCAGUGGCAGAGUCAGACCCCCACCUCCUCACCUGUCCCCAGAGCCUGUGCUCUUAGCCCAGCACAGCUGAAUGGGAUCCCUCCUCAUCCAACUCACCCAAAUACCUUUCAGAAGAUGUAAAGUGGCUUCUCAAAAGGAUCAAAGAGGCCAGGCACGGUGGCUCACACCUGUAAUCCCAGCACUCUGGGAAGCCGAGGCGGGUGGAUCACCUGGGGUUAGGGGUUUGAGGCCAACCUGACCAACAUGGUGAAACCUCGUGUCUACUAAAAAUACGAAAAUUAGCUGGGCGUGGCG
rnacentral:lncRNA from 1 species